AGCAGCCGCGGUAAUUCCAGCUCCAAUAGCGUAUAUUAAAGUUGUUGCAGUUAAAAAGCUCGUAGUUGAAUUUCGGGGUUAGUAGGUUGGUCAUGCCUCUGGUAUGUACUGGUCUCACUGAUUCCUCCUUCCUGAUGAGCCGUAAUGCCAUUAAUUUGGUGUUGCGGGGAAUUUGGACUGUUACUUUGAAAAAUUAGAGUGUUUAAAGCAAGCUAACGCUUGAAUACAUUAGCAUGGAAUAAUGAAAUAGGACGUUCGGUCCUAUUUUGUUGGUUUCUAGGAUUGACGUAAUGAUUAAUAGGGAUAGUUGGGGGCAUUAGUAUUCAAUUGUCAGAGGUGAAAUUCUUGGAUUUAUUGAAGACUAACUACUGCGAAAGCAUUUGCCAAGGAUGUUUUCAUUAAUCAAGAACGAAAGUUAGGGGAUCGAAGACGAUCAGAUACCGUCGUAGUCUUAACCAUAGACUAUGCCGACUAGGGAUCGGAUGAUGUUAAUUUUUAAUGACUCAUUCGGCGCCUUACG
rnacentral:misc_RNA from 1 species